UCUUUCACCUUGCUCGUAGAAGGUUCCAAUGGUUCUGAUGCUCUACACAUAUUAACCACACAAUAUACACAAUCAAAAUUUAGCCAAAUACUCACUUAAACCAACCAAAAACGCAAGCCUAAGCUAUAUUUCUCAAGAAAUUGAAAUUUCGACUAACAAACUUGAAACUCAAAUAUCUCGGUCUAUAAUUAAUCUUUUUUUCCUGAAACAAAUUCCAUUCAUCUAAUUAUUCACCUAUGACUGAUUCUCAACCUUUAAAUUACUCAAUUCAUAGUAUCAAAAUUUUCAACAUGUUUAUGGCAAUUUUCACGAAAAUUUAUCAAGUCCUUAGAAAUCCUUAACGAAACUUUAAAGUAAGUUUAGAAACAUUCUAGUCAUAUUAAAAAUAAUUGAAAAACACUUUGAAAUAACGUUUUUAUCCACAAACCCAAAAUUCACCAUUAAUGACCCGAUUUUUGGCUUUUAUUAAGAACAUGUGUUUUAACAGCUAAAAACUUAGUUUUAAAUACUAUAUAACAUUAAAAACUCAUAAGGAAUUGAAUCAUUACCUUAGAUGAAGAAAAUCUAUACGUUUGAUCGAAAACCCGAAAAACCCAAAAACUUGACAAUAGAGGAACUAUGAUAUUUUUUGGUGUUUUUCUUGGUCUUUUAUAGAGGUUUAAGGUUUAAGGGUGAUAGAAAUCAAAGAGGAUUAGAAAUUUGAGUUCAAAAUUUAUUGAAAUAGCAAUAGAGAAUCAAGGGACGGCAACUCUAGUUUUGG
rnacentral:lncRNA from 1 species